rnacentral:rRNA from 1 species
AUUGAACGCUGGCGGCAGGCUUAACACAUGCAAGUCGAGCGAGCGGCGGACGGGUGAGUAAUGUCUGGGAAACUGCCUGAUGGAGGGGGAUAACUACUGGAAACGGUAGCUAAUACCGCAUACCAUCAGAUGUGCCCAGAUGGGAUUAGCUAGUUGGUGAGGUAAUGGCUCACAAAGGCUAUGACGCAUAACUGGUCUGAGAGGAUGACCAGCCACACUGGAACGGAGACACGGUCCAGACUCCUACGGGAGGCAGCAGUGGGGAAUAUUGGACAAUGGGCGCAAGCCUGAUGCAGCCAUGCCGCGUGUGUGAAGAAGGCCUUCGGGUUGUAAAGCACUUUCAGCGAGGAGGCGUUACUCGCAGAAGAAGCACCGGCUAACUCCGUGCCAGCAGCCGCGGUAAUUC